GAAAAAGUGAUCAAAAGAGACAGAAGGAUCAAGGGAGAGCAUUGCUUUAGACUUGUCCAUACAAGUAAAACAAGAAGAAAUGCAUUGGCCAAGGGGCACCUGGACCCUAAUUGAGGAGCUGCUGAUGUGAAACAUGCACAAGAGUCAGACGUGAGUAGAAGCAGCCUGGUGUGGAGCUUACUUGAGCACGGCCACAGCCUUGUAAAGAAACGCCACAGCCUUGUAAAAAACAUCACAGCCUUGGAAAUUAUGCUUGGCAAUAUUGUUCUUCAUUUGGAAGUUUGAUUUGCUUCCUAUGAGUUUUCUUGAUAUAUACUACAACUGCAGCUAUAACUUAAGCUUGAAAAAUCCCACCCUCCAAGUAGAUGAACUGGCAAGAAAGAGGAAACAGACUAGCAAUAUCCUUCCUUGCUGUUUAAUGAAAUACCAUUACAAAGUCAACGAGAUGCACUAGAAGCAGGAACUAAAGUAAGUGUAGAAGCCUCCUCCCUUUCUCCUUCAAGUUCGUUUGGAAAGAAUACAAGAUUUGAUGCUCCUUUUAUGAAGGUAUGAUGUGGUAGAUGUUUUUGUGUGGUUCCAAGCCCCCUCUUCAUUAUUUGAAGGAACUGGGGGAAGUUGUGGGUUUGUACAAUGUUUGAGCCAAAAGCUGGGGGUUAGCAGUCUUGCCUGUGGUGAUGUUUGUCUGCAUCAUGGAAGUGUAACAAAUAAAAUUGGGAGAGCUCAUAACUUUUGGAUUAGU
rnacentral:lncRNA from 1 species